GAGGUCGAGGAAGGGAGUCACUUGAGAAAGAAAAAGGAGAGGAGAGAGGGGUCAAAGAGUAGAAGAGGAAGGAGAGAGGAGACAAGCCCAGGCCUGGUCCAGAGCCUAUAAGAGCUCCCAAGUUACGAGAUGAUCAUCAUAAAAGAGCCUGAAUCAAUAUCAGGCCAUAGAAUAGAGUUAGAAGGAGCCAGACAAAUCAGAGAUCCCACUGCUAAGCUGCUGGUCCUGCCCUCUGGAAUCAAGGAGAGCAAGUCACAUGACAACCCUUCAGAUUCUUGAAGACAACUAUCCUUUCCCCCCUGAGAGUCUUCUGGCUUCUUUAGCUGAUGCCCCUAUCACAUGGAUUCAAGGCAAGCCUUUCCCAUCCAGGCUGCUCUUGUACUGUUCUGAACUCGGAAGAAGAAGACAGCAGUGCGGCCUAAUGAUCCGCGUAGGUUUCACAGAGCUGAUGAUACUCGGGCUGAAUCUUGAAGGACUUGCCUUCUCAAGAAGGCUGUGGUCUCCUCUGGGAGGGGACCUGAUUCUUCUCUUACGUUCCUUACAAAGCGGCUCUCCUAGGAGGCACGUGAUAAACGCUUUUUCUUAAUGGAGGCAUAUUCAAAUAUUCAUUGAAGGCAAAGGUUUUUCAUGGCAGUCUUUGAGGCUGGACUUGUUUUUGCCUUUCUUUGUGCCACCAACACUUAGAAAACUGAUACAUAGUAGGCACUUACUGAAUGCUUGUUUACUGAUUAGCAAUCCAAUAAGAACUGUUUUAAGCUCCUACUGUA